UUAGUGGCGAACGGGUGAGUAACACGUGAGGAACUUGCCCAUGAGCGGGGGACAACAUUCGGAAACGGAUGCUAAUACCCCAUAGGUGGAUUGGUCGCAUGACGAAUUCAUUAAAGGUGGCUUCGCUACCACUCAUGGAUAGCCUCGCGGCGUAUUAGCUAGUUGGUAAGGUAAUGGCUUACCAAGGCAGUGAUACGUAGCCGACUUGAGAGGGUGAUCGGCCACACUGGGACUGAGACACGGCCCAGACUCCUACGGGAGGCAGCAGUAGGGAAUCUUCCACAAUGGGUGCAAACCUGAUGGAGCAAUGCCGCGUGAGUGAAGAAGGUCUUCGGAUCGUAAAGCUCUGUUGUUAGAGAAGAACACGUGCUAGGUAACUACUAGCGCCUUGACGGUAUCUAACCAGAAAGUCACGGCUAACUACGUGCCAGCAGCCGCGGUAAUACGUAGGUGACAAGCGUUGUCCGGAUUUAUUGGGCGUAAAGGGAGCGCAGGCGGUCUGUUUAGUCUAAUGUGAAAGCCCACGGCCUAACCGUGGAACGGCAUUGGAAACUGACAGACUUGAAUGUAGAAGAGGAAAAUGGAAUUCCAAGUGUAGCGGUGGAAUGCGUAGAUAUUUGGAGGAACACCAGUGGCGAAGGCGAUUUUCUGGUCUAACAUUGACGCUGAGGCUCGAAAGCGUGGGGAGCGAACAGGAUUAGAUACCCUGGUAGUCCACGCCGUAAACGAUGAGUGCUAAGUGUUGGGGGCUUUCCGGCCCUCGGUGCUGGAGCUAACGUAUUAAGCACUCCGCCUGGGGAUUACGACCGCAAGGUUGAAACUCAAAAGAAUUGACGGGGACCCGCACAAGCGGUGGAGCAUGUGGUUUAAU
rnacentral:rRNA from 1 species